rnacentral:rRNA from 1 species
AGUGAACGCUGGCGGUAGGCCUAACACAUGCAAGUCGAACGAGUGGCGGACUUGUGAGCAAUACAUCGGAAUCUACGCUGUUGUGGUGGAUAACGUAGGGGAACUUACGCUAAUACCCCAUACUAUAGAAUGAGCCGAUGUCGGAUUAGCUAGUUGGCGGGGUAAAGGCCCACCAAGGCGACGAUCCGUAGCUGGUCUGAGAGGAUGAUCAGCCACACUGGAACGUAGACACGGUCGAGACUCCUACGGGAGGAAGCAGUGGGGAAUCUUGGACAAGGGGCGCAAGCCUGAUCCUGCCAUACCGCGUGGGUGAAGAAGGCCUGAGGGUUGUAAAGCCCUUUUGUUGGGAGAGCGGUACCCAAAGAAUAAGCACCGGCUAACUUCGUGCCAGCAGCCGCGGUAAUAC